rnacentral:misc_RNA from 1 species
GAAAUGCGAUAAGUAAUGUGAAUUGCAGAAUUCAGUGAAUCAUCGAAUCUUUGAACGCACCUCGCGCUCCUUGGUAUUCCUUGGAGCAUGCCUGUUUGAGUAUCAUGAAAUCUUCAAAGUAAAUCUUUUGUUAACUCAAUUGGUUUCUACUUUGGUAUUGGAGGUCUUUGCAGCUUCACACCUGCUCCUCUUUGUUCAUUAGCUGGAUCUCAGUGUUAUGCUUGGUUCCACUCGGCGUGAUAAGUUAUCUAUCGCUGAGGACACUGUAAAAGGUGGCCAAGGUAAAUGCAGAUGAACCGCUUCUAAUAGUCCAUUGACUUGGACAAUACUUUUAUGAUCUGAUCUCAAAUCAGGUAGGACUACCCGCUGAACUUAAGC